AUAGUUGUCGCGUCACCACCAGCACCUGCCCGCCAGAGGGAGCCCUCGCCCGAGUUUUGACGCCACCCACGAGGAACACUUCCGGGGUUUUACGGACAUUUAAGUAGCGCAUUCACCAUGCUAGGACGCGAAGUAUUGUUUUCGGGACAUUACCAAGCCUUUUCUCUCUGCCAUUGUGUAUUUGUUUUGCCUUUUGUGUAUGACCCUGUUCACGUUUACGAAUUACUGCCUUUGCCUUGUGUUUUGGAUUUGGUUACCCCGCUGCUUGACUUCCUGGUUUUUCGGACUUUGCUCUUGUUGCUUGUUUAUGUUUUCUGCCUGCUGUUUUGGAUUUGUUUGCUAUUAAACUGCUUAUGGAUCCUACACAACCCACCUCCAGCGAUUCAUUACAAUAGUAUAAUUUUUUCUUCAAUUGCUUCAAGCAAACAUCACCCUGCUCUGUAACAUCACUAAUUAUACUGAGAUAUCAUGGUAUCGACUGAGAUCUGAGGAGGUGAAGCUGCUGAUAUCUGCUGAAAAAGGGAACCUGAAGAAAACCUUUUUCUUCAUUUAUAAUGUGAACGAGAAUCACUUUGUUGUAACAGAAAGCAGCAGUUCAGUCGGUUUAGUGAUUAUUGGAGUUAGAGAGACAGAUCUGGGAUUUUAUUACUGUGGAGGUCGAAACAGAACGACACACAUUCAGUUUGGGAAACCCAUCAGACUGAACUUUACAGACAAGUGUGUUAGCAGUAGAGACCUGAUCGAGAAGGAAGUCAAGCUGCAACACACUGCUGAUUUGACCUGUGUGACCUACACAAGAGUCUCCUGAAGGCCCAGAAACUAUUUAACAGCAUGAAUCACCACGUCACAGAGAACCUGCUAUGAUCUGGUCUACAUCUGACCACAACAUUUAGUACAAUCAUUUUUAAUAAGUUUCAUUAAAUAGAUAGAUAUGUGAGAAUUAUUCUAAAAGCUGUGGUCAGUUUUCAUUUAAAGACGUUUCAGAAAUGGUAUUUAUAGCGGCUCUGAAUUCUGAGUAAAGGUCUGAGCUCAUGUUUCUGUUCAGCUGUGUGCUAUGUCCUGUUCAGACCGUGUGGUUAACACCACCAGUAGCCCUCAUCUUCCUUCCAUUUUAGGAUAUGUGAAGAAAGCAUUGUGUUGUGUUUUUUUUUUUUUUUUGUUAGCAUUGUAGGUAGAUCUGUGUAAAGAACAUAAACUGAUAAAAUGUUGAUUGUGCUCGGAUCUAUAUGCACCUUCGUGAUGUGAGCAGUUUAUUGGACAGAUAAAAUACAGAGCAGGAUGUAGGACCAUGUGGCUAAAACCAGGCCUGAAAUGCACCCUGUUUUUUUUUUUUUUUUUUUUUUUUACUCCACAAACUGAGUGUGAAACAUCAGCACUUGUUCUCAGAGUGCUGGAGGGUGUGUGUGAGACAUGGCCAAACUCCUGUCUACAUUUAUUCUACAGAUGCUGUUUGGUGAGUUCAUACACACAUUAGCAAAAUAGAUAGUAAACUAUAAAUGAGUGUUAUUAGCCACUGUAGCUGUGAGAGUGUGAGUGAUGUUCAGGAAUGGAUUAAUGCACUAAGGCUGGUUUGGACAGUGAUGAUGAAUCUGCUCUCCUGUUGUGCUUUUAGCUUUCUUUACACCGUGUCUCCUUCAGAUUGCUUCAACUGAUCAUUUAUCUGUCCAUCCUGGAGAGAGCAUCAUCCUGCUCUGUAACAUCACUAAUUAUUCUGAGAUAUCAUGGUAUCGACUGAGAUCUGAGGAGGUGAAGCUGCUGAUAUCUGCUGUAAAAGGGAACCUGAAGAAACAGUUUAUCCUCAGUUAUAAUGUGGACGUGAGUCACUUUGAUAUAACAGAAAGCAGCAGUUUAGUCAGUUUAGUGAUUAUUGGAGUUAGAGAGACAGAUCUGGGAUUUUAUUACUGUGGAGGUCGAAACAAAACGACACAUAUUCAGUUUGGGAAACCCAUCAGACUGAACUUUACAGAAGAUCAACAUCGUGAGACUGAUCACUCAGACACACAGCAGUCUGCACCUCCUGCACACUGUGGAGAUAUUAUUAUUAUUAUAAUAAUCCUGUCGUGUGUGUGGUCUCUGUUUCAAUAAGCAUCACCUGCUCCUCUCUGUACUGUUCCAGUCUACAAGAUAAGUGUUCUUUCACCGGGGACUCGGAUGAGAAGGUAGCAGAAAAACAAGGAAAUGUAGUUGAUAGAAGGCAGUGCUCAGAUCAUGUCACUAUAAAAGCAGACUAAAAAUGUCACAUUAUCAGAUGUUUCUCUGUGCAGGAAGUGGACCUGCAGCUGUCUGAUUUGACCUCUGUGACCUACACAUGUGUCUCCUGACAGCCCAGAAAACAUUAGCAACAAUUUAUAAAGUUUAUAUAAACACAUGGACAGAGGUGUGGUGCAGUUUCCUGCUUUUAUUUCUGUACUUUUAUAGGGUUUAUAGACCUUAUAUUGCUAAUAGUUGCACAUGAUUUGUACUGCUUUUGUAGAGCUUUACUCUGUCAUUGUCUAUAAGAUUAAAAUGUAAGGAGGAAUACCAUGUUUCAACCGCACAGUGUUUCUUUAAACAGGCAGUGAAUGGCGCUUUGAGAUUGAAUAUGACUUGUACAUAGUCAGAUGGUGAUGAAAUGCGUGUGUAAGGCCAAUUCAUUUGUAAGUGCUAUACACCAAAACAUUUGGGUUUGAGAUCAAAAAAAUGGAUAUGAGACAGAAUUUAAGAGUUUAGGAUUUCAGCUUUUGUUUCUAAAUCUAGAUGUGUUAAAUCAUAGAACCUUUUGUAUCAGACAACCCAUUUUUUAGGUGAGCAAAAGUAUAGGAACAGAUAGGUUUUGAAGUAAGUCAAAGUAAAUAAGACAAUACUUGGUUGCAUAUCCCUUGCUUGCAAUAACUACAUCAAGCCUACGACUCACUGACAUCACCAAACUGUUGGUUUCUUCUUUUGUAAUGCUUUUCCAGGCUUUUACCGCAGCCUCUUUCAGCCUCUUUCAGCCUUCUUUACAUCU